rfam:Brachypodium distachyon strain Bd21 chromosome 3, whole genome shotgun sequence.
UCUGCUUCUCUUUAAGUAUUCGUGUCUGUGAACUAACUUCAAUGGUUCCUGGGCAAUGAUGAGAUGGGAAGCAGAAAUCAAAUGUUCCUCUCGCUAUCCAAUGCGGAAUUUCCUGAUGCGAUUGGACGUCGAGGAACUACAUUU